rnacentral:rRNA from 1 species
GACGAACGCUGGCGGCGCGCUUAACACAUGCAAGUCGAACGUGAAGCCCGGGCUUGCCCGGGUGGAAAGUGGCGAACAGGUGCGUAACACGUGAGCAACCUGCCCCGAAGACCGGGAUAACAGCGGGAAACCGCUGCUAAUACCGGAUGCCCUCAUCAUGUCGCAUGGCGAGAUGAGGAAAUGGAUUCCGCUUCGGGAUGGGCUCGCGGUCUAUCAGCUUGUUGGGAGGUAAUGGCUCACCAAGGCUACGACGGAUAGCUGGUCUGAGAGGAUGUCCAGCCACACUGGGACUGAGACACGGCCCAGACUCCUACGGGAGGCAGCAGUGGGGAAUCUUGCGCAAUGGGCGAAAGCCUGACGCAGCGAUGCCGCGUGAGGGAAGAAGG